GGACAUGUGGCCGAGUGGUUAUGGCGUGUGACUCAAGUUCUCAUGGGCUUUGCCCGCAGGGGUUCGAAUCCCCUCGUGUUCA